rnacentral:rRNA from 1 species
UACGUAGGGGGCAAGCGUUGUCCGGAAUCAUUGGGCGUAAAGAGCGUGUAGGCGGCCAGAUAAGUCCGCUGUGAAAUCUCGAGGCUCAACUUCGAGCUGUCGGUGGAAACUGUCUGGCUAGAGUCCGGAAGAGGAGAAUGGAAUUCCUGGUGUAGCGGUGGAAUGCGCAGAUAUCAGGAGGAACACCGAUGGCGAAGGCGGGUCUCUGGGCAGUAACUGACGCUGAGGAGCGAAAGCGUGGGGAGCGAACAGG